rnacentral:rRNA from 1 species
UGGGGAAUAUUGCACAAUGGGCGAAAGCCUGAUGCAGCAACGCCGCGUGAGUGAUGAAGGCCUUCGGGUUGUAAAGCUCUGUCUUUUGGGACGAUAAUGACGGUACCAAAGGAGGAAGCCACGGCUAACUACGUGCCAGCAGCCGCGGUAAUACGUAGGUGGCAAGCGUUGUCCGGAUUUACUGGGCGUAAAGGAUGCGUAGGCGGAUUUUUAAGUGAGAUGUGAAAACCCUAAGCUUAACUUGGGGACUGCAUUUCAUACUGGAAAUCUAGAGUGCGGGAGAGGAGAAUGGAAUUCCUAGUGUAGCGGUGAAAUGCGUAGAGAUUAGGAAGAACACCAGUGGCGAAGGCGAUUCUCUGGACCGUAACUGACGCUGAGGCGUGAAAGCGUGGGUAGCAAACAGGAUUAGAUACCCUGGUAGUCCACGCCGUAAACGAUGAGUACUAGGUGUAGGAGGUAUCGACCCCUUCUGUGCCGCAGUUAACACAAUAAGUACUCCGCCUGGGAAGUACGAUCGCAAGAUUAAAACUCAAAUGAAUUGACGGGGUCAUAGCUGUUUCCU